UUAUGUACUAUGCAUUUGCCAUGUGAUUUCUUUUGUGAUGCUUAUUUGCUCGUUUUUAUAGUUUUAUUUUAUUUACCUUCUCUUACAGCAAUCAAAUCGGAUGGAGAACAUCACACAACAGCCUUUCUCCAGGACAUAAAGAAAAUGGUGGCACUUUGGGUUUUGCAGACGCCGCCUCGCGUAGGACUACGAACAUGGGACGCUCGGUCGAGUUUUUCUUAACUCGUCAGGAUUCUCAUGCUGCAAAUUUAGUAACGGGGCAAAUUUUUGGGUGUCCUAAUGUGUUUGCGGAUUGAUGAAAAUUUGGCGAGGGAGAUCAUAAACCAUCGCUCGCUGCAGCACAUCAAUUGUUGAAUUCGUUUGAAGGAGCUGUCAAUUGUUGAAUUCGCUUGAAGGAGAUGGAGCUCGUUUGGCUGAAUUUGCUACUGAGUUGCCACAUUUUGAGGGCCUGCAAUUGAAGAAUACAACACUUGAGAUAACAAUUGAAGAGUACUAGAGUAAUAAUAACUACUGCAAGAGUGAUGUAUUUUCUUUUUGUUGGAGAUUUUCUGCAUCUUUUAUGGACGGUAACAUUUGAGAUAACAAUUUGAUGUGCUAACCAUCAAGAUCAACUUCGACAUGUUUGGUCUCUAAAAGUUACUAUUGACCAUCAUUGGUGCAUCCUAUAAGGGUAUAGUCAGUACUAUGAGUAACUUACCAGACAUUGACUGUAGAAGUUGCUAUCCAACUCUUGUGAAAUCUAACCAUGCUAUUCAUUUACGAUACCUAUACGUAUGUGGUACACAAUCUGAAAUAGUAGAAGGGGAAAAUAAAGCAUUAAUGUGGAGUAUGUUCCAAUGGAAAUCUUCAGGAACACCUUGAAGGUCUGAGUGCAAUUUUUCUUUAGUUCUCUGUGAGCUUAAAAAUGCAACUGAUGUGGCCCAUGCAACUGAAAUUAAAAACAUGGAGAAGAAUCAUAAAAGAUCUCGCUGAAAAUGCCCUCGUUCUGCACUUCGUAUGGACAGGCAGCGCCCUUUACCUUCGAAGUCUCGAAAAAUGGUCUGGGUGAUGCGGGUGCCUCAAUGCUUGAUGCCAUGUUCUGUAAGAGGCCAAGGCAAAAUGGAUAAGUCUGUAACUGGAACUCUGGAUAGUUGAUCCUCUGAAUGGCGAAAAAUUUAUCAAAGUUGCUGAGGUUCAGGGGUCUGAAAUUAAUGUAUUGAUGCUUUGGGGUUCUUAUCUUUUCAUUCCCAUGUUACAAUGCUAUGAGUGUAAUUUGGUCUUAGUAUCUAUCAACUUUUCCCAGCUCAAAAAACAAUAUAUUUUUCGCCAGGACAGAGCUCAAAAUACAAAGACUGACUUUUCCUUGUCUAAAUUUUACUGAUAUUAGCGUGUGUGUAUUAGCUCUGAUGUGUGUUCUAAAAAAAUAUGUAAUAUUUUCAUGUUGCAGCCAUUUGUGGAUAGUUUAACUAAAUGCCCAAAACCCACUUAGAGCUCCAAAGAGGUCUUGUUUUCUUGUACUAUGGAUUUAAGGUGAUUCUCAAGAGGAACAAGUCGCCAUGGACCGAUGAGAUCGAGAGACGGCUCCGCGGUUGCGUGGAGUGGUGGCUGAGAGGAGAGGCAACAACAACUCGUUGUCCGUGAUGGCCCGAGCAUUUGCGAGAGGGGAUGGAGCGGGGGUUGCAUCGUCACGGCCAGUUGCCGGAGUGGAUGGAGUGGUGGCCGCACGGACGCGCUCCUGGAGGUGCCGGUAUGCACCCUGAUUUUGAGCCUGGGAGGUUCCUUGCUCUGCCCUAUCCUCAAGGGUGUUCAUCUACUUUGGUAUCGUGCUCUGGAGUCAGGACGAUGCACUAAUGCAGGUUUGAUUCUUUACUUUUUCUUUUGUUUUAUUUGUAUGCACAUCCCUGAAUUUUGUGUGUCGUGAUUUAAAUGUUGUCGUGUGUGCCAUUGUGUCCUAUAUAAUUAUUCUAUUGAAGCACCGCUGCAACCCAGAUUGUUUAUCAAAUUGAUGCAAGAAACAAACUAAUACAUAGAGAGUAUAAAUUUAUUGCAUUAAUCUGUAUAUCCCUGCACCUAGCGAUAGGUAGAGAUGGAAAAAUUUUGUAGCUUUUUGAUCCCGGUUUUUCCUAUUGAAAUUAUGGAUUUGGAAGCUAAUCAUGGAGUGUUUCGAUUGCCUGCUUACGGAAUCGCAAUGAGCACAAGUCUGCAACCUUGAAGGAAAACCCGUUGCAACUGGUGACAUAAUAUUACGUCGCAACAAGAAUGUAUAGAGCUACAGAGCUCUGUGGAUCCUUCUCUUCACAAAAGGAAACAAGAGGUAAUGUAAACAAUAGAUUCUCUUGUGAAAUUGCGAUUCAGCCUUGGGGCGUGGAUGGCGAGAAGCGGAGGCGUGUGCCUAGAGUAGCGGACCAUGAUGGAUUGAUGAGUUGAUGUCACGUGACGUACUCACGUGGCGGCUGGUUAGGCUCCGGCGGCUGGAGCCAUCAUCGACCAUGAUGCCGUGCCAGGAGCACAAGGGCUAAGACGAGGACAUGUUGGUGCCGAUGAAAUAAGGUGCUGCCGGUUGAUGGGGGCCUAACCAUGAGUCUAACUGAAAGUGAACAGGAGCGAUGUGCAGAAAAAAAUCUUAGCACAUAGGCUGAAUUUGUAUAGUACUUCGAAUUUAUUAGGCAGUACCCCCUCCAUUUGUAUAUCACUUCCGAAUACAAGUUCAGGUUAUUAGGCAGUACUAUUGAAUUUAAGGAUUGAUACUUGAAGAUUUUAAAAGGUUACUAAAUUUUGUACCAAGUCUACUGUUAUGUAUGGGAAGAACAUGCGCUAAAAUAUUGAUAAUGCAAAUGAAAGUGAUCGUUUGAUUAUUAAA